rnacentral:lncRNA from 1 species
GAGUAUCUUCCAUAUUUAGGAGUUUUACUUGUGUAUAUAUGUUCUAGAGGAUAAGAGUGCAGGAUGUAGGUGUGAUGUGGUGGUAGCCUUGUGCAAGCAUGUGCAUGUGUGUGAAGGGUUCCCCCCCCCCCUCACCACAUAUCAUGUGUGAGUGUGUCCUAACUAGUGUGUGUAUGUGAUCUUGUUAGAGGUAUGUGUGUGUGUGUGCUAUAGAGGGAGUGCAUGUAGGGGCACAUGCUAGUAUGAUCUUGAGCUUGCAAGCAU